GGGGGAAAAAUUAAAUAUUUUAUAAUUAAUAAAAUUAAUUUUAAUAUUAAAAUGGGGGUUUUAGUAUUAAUAAAGAAAUAAUUAUAAAAUUAAUAGUUAAUUAGUAUUGUAAAAUAAAUUUGAAAUAAUUUAAAUAUAAAUUUAUGAAAAAGUAAAUUUUAAUUAUUGUAUCUUGUGUAUCAGAGUUUAUUAAAUUAAAGGUUUAAAUAAAAAAAAUUCUCGAAUUUAAAAGAGAUAAUUAAUUAUAAAAGUUAUUGUAACAUAAAUAUUUUAAAUAAUUAAUUAGAAAUGAAAUGUUAAUCGUUUUUAAAAUAUAUCUAGUUUUUUUAGAAAAAAAUUUAAUUUUAUUUUUUUUUUUAUAAAAAAAUUAAUUAAUUAAUUUAUUUUAAAAAAAAAAUUUUAUUUUAAGGGAUAAUCUUUAAAUUAAAUUUUUAUAAUUAUUUUUUUUUUAUUAAUUAAAAUUUUUAAAAUUUAUAUUGUUUAUAAUUUUAAUUUUAUUAUAAAUAAUUUUAAAUAAAAUAAAAAUUUAAUAAAAAAAUUUAAUUUUUUAUAAAAAAAUAUUUUUUAAUUAAAAAAAAUUAGUUAUAAUGAUAAAAUUAGUUUUUUUAAUAAAAAAAAAAUUUUUUAUAAUUUAAAAAUAAAUUUAAGGAAUUCGGCAAAAUUUUAUAUUCCCUUGUUUAUCAAAAACAUGUCUUUUUGUAAAUAAUUUAAAGUCUAAUCUGCCCACUGAUAAUUAUUAAAGGGCUGCAGUAUAUUGACUGUACAAAGGUAGCAUAAUCCAAAGUCUCUUAAUUGGUGACUUGUAUGAAAGAUUGGAUGAAAAAUAAACUGUCUCAAUUUAUUAAUAAAAUAAUUUAAUUUUUUGAUUAAAAAGUCAAAAUAAUUUUAAAAGACGAGAAGACCCCAUAGAGUUUUAUAAUAAUAUAUAAUAAAAUUAUUUUAUAAAUUUAUUAAUUAAAAUUAUUUAAUAUUAUUUUAUUGGGGUGAUAAAAAAAUAAAAUUAACUUUUUUUAAAAAUUAAUUCAUAAAUAAAUGAGUAAAUGAUCCAAAAUUUUUGAUUAUAAGAAAAAAUUACCUUAGGGAUAACAGCGUAAUUUUUUUUUUUAGUUCAAAUAAGAAAAAGAGUUUGCGACCUCGAUGUUGGAUUAAGAUAAAAUUUAAAUGCAAAAGUUUAAAAUUUUUGAUCUGUUCGAUCAUUAAAAUCUUACAUGAUCUGAGUUCAAACCGGUGUGAGCCAGGUUGGUUUCUAUCUUUAAAAAGUUGAAGUAUUUUAGUACGAAAGGAUCAAAUAUUUAAAUUAAAUUUAUUUUAAAGAAUAUUAUUAAUUUAAUUAUAAAUAUAUGUAAAUUAUAUACAAUAAAUAUAUAAUAUAGAUGGGUAAAUAAUUAG
rnacentral:rRNA from 1 species